rnacentral:rRNA from 1 species
CCCUUAGAUGUUCUGGGCCGCACGCGUGCUACACUGAGUAAUUCAAUGGGUAAGGGAACGCUAGAGCAUUACCUAAUCUUGAAAUUUGCUCGUGAUGGGGAUCGACGGUUGCAAUUUUCCGUCGUGAACGAGGAAUACCUUGUAGGCGCAUGUCAUCAUCAUGCGCCGAAUACGUCCCUGCCCUUUGUACACACCGCCCGUCGCCCCUACCGAUUGAGUGAUCCGGUGAGGCUCUGGGACCUGGACGGAAAGAGCGUUUCGCUUGUUCUGUUUGGGAAACUUGGUCGAACCUUAUCAUUUAGAGGAAGGAGAAGUCGUAACA